GAUAACGCUGGCGGCGUGCCUAAUACAUGCAAGUCGAGCGAACAGACGAGGAGCUUGCUCCUCUGACGUUAGCGGCGGACGGGUGAGUAACACGUGGAUAACCUACCUAUAAGACUGGGAUAACUUCGGGAAACCGGAGCUAAUACCGGAUAAUAUAUUGAACCGCAUGGUUCAAUAGUGAAAGACGGUUUUGCUGUCACUUAUAGAUGGAUCCGCGCCGCAUUAGCUAGUUGGUAAGGUAACGGCUUACCAAGGCAACGAUGCGUAGCCGACCUGAGAGGGUGAUCGGCCACACUGGAACUGAGACACGGUCCAGACUCCUACGGGAGGCAGCAGUAGGGAAUCUUCCGCAAUGGGCGAAAGCCUGACGGAGCAACGCCGCGUGAGUGAUGAAGGUCUUCGGAUCGUAAAACUCUGUUAUUAGGGAAGAACAAAUGUGUAAGUAACUAUGCACGUCUUGACGGUACCUAAUCAGAAAGCCACGGCUAACUACGUG
rnacentral:rRNA from 1 species